CGGGGAGUAGUUCAGCAGUAGAACACACGGUUCGGGACCGUGAGGUGGGAGGUGCGACUCCUCUCUCCCCGA
rnacentral:tRNA from 2 species